rnacentral:sRNA from 1 species
GCUGGGUGAGGUGAUGCACACCUGUAAUCCCAGCAGCUCUGGAGGCUGAGGAAGGAGGAUCAUGAGUUCAAAACCAGUCACAGCAAAAGCGAGCACUAAGCAACUCAGUGAGACCCUAUCUUAC